AACGAACGCUGGCGGCAGGCUUAACACAUGCAAGUCGAACGAUCUCUUCGGAGAUAGUGGCAGACGGGUGAGUAACGCGUGGGAACCUACCUUAUUCUACGGAAUAACACAGAGAAAUUUGUGCUAAUACCGUAUACGCCCUUUGGGGGAAAGAUUUAUCGGAGUAAGAUGGGCCCGCGUUGGAUUAGCUAGUUGGUGGGGUAAUGGCCUACCAAGGCGACGAUCUAUAGCUGGUCUGAGAGGAUGAUCAGCCACACUGGGACUGAGACACGGCCCAGACUCCUACGGGAGGCAGCAGUGGGGAAUAUUGGACAAUGGGCGCAAGCCUGAUCCAGCCAUGCCGCGUGAGUGAUGAAGGCCUUAGGGUUGUAAAGCUCUUUCAACGGUGAAGAUAAUGACGGUAACCGUAGAAGAAGCCCCCGGCUAACUUCGUGCCAGCAGCCGCGGUAAU
rnacentral:rRNA from 1 species